rnacentral:tRNA from 1 species
AAAAAGAUAAGCUAAAUAUAUAAGCUUUCAGGUUCAUACCCUGAAUAUAGGUAUAUCAAUUCCUUCUUUUUA